UACGUAGGGACCAAGCGUUGUUCGGAUUUACUGGGCGCAAAGGGCGCGUAGGCGGCAAUUCAAGUCAUCUGUGAAAUCUCCGGGCUUAACCCGGAACGGUCAGGUGAUACUGUUUUGCUAGAGUGCGGAAGGGGCAAUCGGAAUUCUCGGUGUAGCGGUGAAAUGCGUAGAUAUCGAGAGGAACACCAGAGGUGAAGACGGGUUGCUGGGCCGACACUGACGCUGACAGCGCGAAAGCCAGGGGAGCAAACGGG
rnacentral:rRNA from 1 species